UGAGCAAUCUGCCCUUCUCUUUGGAAUAAGCGUUGGAAACGACGUCUAAUGCCGAAUACGACCUCCUUUCGCAUGAUCGGAGGUGGAAAGCUCCGGCGGAGAAGGAUGAGCUCGCGGCCUAUCAGCUAGUUGGUGUGGGUAACGGCCCACCAAGGCGACGACGGGUAGCCGGCCUGAGAGGGUGACUGGCCACACUGGACUGAGACACGGCCCAGACUCCUACGGGAGGNAGCG
rnacentral:rRNA from 1 species